rnacentral:rRNA from 1 species
CCCCUAGUACGGCGAGUGAGCGGGAUGAGCUCAAAUUUAAAAUCUGGCAGUCUAAGAUUGUCCGAGUUGUAGUCUAGAGAAGCGUUUUCCGCGUAGGCCUGUGUACAAGUCCCUUGGAAUAGGGCGUCAUAGAGGGUGAGAAUCCCGUCCUUGACACAGAUCAUCUAUGCUCUGCGAUGCGCUCUCGAAGAGUCGAGUUGUUUGGGAAUGCAGCUCAAAAUGGGUGGUAAAUUCCAUCUAAAGCUAAAUAUUGGCGAGAGACCGAUAGCGAACAAGUACCGUGAGGGAAAGAUGAAAAGCACUUUGGAAAGAGAGUUAAACAGUACGUGAAAUUGUUGAAAGGGAAACGAUUGAAGUCAGUCAUGUGGUUUGAGGUUCAGCCGGUUCUGCCGGUGUAUUCCUCAGACUACAGGCCAGCAUCAGUUUCGACCGGUGGAAAAAGUUGGAGGGAACGUGGCAUCCUCGGAUGUGUUAUAGCCCUCUUUCACAUGCAUCGGACGGGACUGAGGAACGCAGCGUGCCUUUAUGGUCGGUCUUCGGACACGAACGCGCUUAGGAUGCUGGCAUAAUGGCUUUAAACGACCCGUCUUACAA